rnacentral:rRNA from 1 species
CCUACGGGAGGCAGCAGUGGGGAAUUUUGGACAAUGGGCGCAAGCCUGAUCCAGCCAUGCCGCGUGCGGGAAGAAGGCCUUCGGGUUGUAAACCGCUUUUGUCAGGGAAGAAAUCCUUUGAGUUAAUACCUCGGGGGGAUGACGGUACCUGAAGAAUAAGCACCGGCUAACUACGUGCCAGCAGCCGCGGUAAUACGUAGGGUGCGAGCGUUAAUCGGAAUUACUGGGCGUAAAGCGUGCGCAGGCGGUCUUGCAAGACAGGUGUGAAAUCCCCGGGCUUAACCUGGGAACUGCACUUGUGACUGCAAGGCUGGAGUACGGCAGAGGGGGAUGGAAUUCCGCGUGUAGCAGUGAAAUGCGUAGAUAUGCGGAGGAACACCGAUGGCGAAGGCAAUCCCCCUGGGCCUGUACUGACGCUCAUGCACGAAAGCGUGGGGAGCAAACAGGAUUAGAUACCCUGGUAGUCCACGCCCUAAACCGAUGUCAACUGGUUGUUGGACGGCUUGCUGUUCAGUAACGAAGCUAACGCGUGAGUUGACCGCCUGGGGAGUCGGCCGCGAGUUGAAACGUUAAGGAAUUGACGGCUGNGACGNGCGAGACGACGACGAGGGAGAGG